rfam:Asian citrus Psyllid, Diaphorina citri - Florida Strain, whole genome shotgun sequence.
GCCUCGGUGGUGUAGUGGUCAAGACGCUUGUCUGGUAAACAGAAGGGUGUGGGUUCAAUCCCAGCCGAGGUA